GAGACUUGCCUGGUGUGGAAAUGCUCAAGGAGAACAUUGCUGCGUAUUUCAAUGUCCUGCAGGGUUUCCUUUUGGCCUGUCAUGGAAGCACGAUCGGUGCCGGUCCUACGCUUCACAAGUAUAUCACUAGUUCUGCAAAAGGCGUGGUGGAUGCCAGCUUCUCGUUGUUCAAGCUAGCUGUUUCUGCCUAUGUAUCGGCGACAACAAGAAGGCCUGGAAGAGCGAACACUGCAGGGCACUGAAGAUAAAGCUUACAGAAAGAAAUAAAGAUGGCCAUAUUCUCACAUACUCCUGGAUUUCAUUUACAUCAACUUCUCAAGAGAGGAGUACUCCUUUUUAGUAGUCUCAGUUUAAAGUAAAUUAAAUGAAAGGAGUACUCCUUUUCAGUUGUCUCGGUUUAAAGUGAAUGAAAGGAGUACUUGCUCCCUGUACUAGUUACUUCUACUACUUAUUUUUAGCUGUUUAGUACUACUCUGUAGAUCUGUGAUACUAGUCUAGUCGCUUGUAUAAUUUUGUUUAUUAGUGUAACCUGAACCAUGGAGUAGUACCCUGUUCGCAUAUGCGUGAUUAUGUGUGUUCUGUAGUCUCUAGCUCCAGUACAUGUGAAAUAUAUGUUGUGGUGUAAAUCAUUUUCAUUCUAUCUUAUAAACGUGUUUCUUCAAUAGCUAUUUCUGUUCAAUUCUUGUUGUCACUGAUGUUAGCAUUUAGUUUGUCUCAAGUUAAAAAAAUACUGAAAAUACAGUGUACAAAUCAGCCCAAAUAUGUGAGCCUCGGUUCUGAAAACUAAAGAGUUCAUAUAUUGGUAGAUAGACUGUGAUUUAGGAUAUGCUAAACAGAAAGCUUUAUAAGAUGGAACUCUCAAUAUCAUGACUUCACUUUGUCUUUAAUUUAAUAUGGUUAGAACUACCAUGGUUUUUUAAGUAGUUGGGGCAUUAAGAAACAGUAUGCUGGAUGUUUGGCCUUGCAUCCGUCCUUCCAUGAAUUCAUGCUUGUGCAUUGCUAGUUAUUGCUUUUUUUGCAGGUCUUCUUCUUCCUCGAUCUGGUGCAGCAACAACAAUUCAAGGUCAUGGUCAUGGAGCAGCAGCCAUAUAUUUUCUUCUUCUUAUUCUUCCCUGAGAUGACAUGAGAUGAGGCUCUGUUGGUCAGUCUUCAAUUCUUCAUGCUGCUGCUGCUACUGCUACAUGAGGACCCUCUUCAAUUCUGCAUCCGUUGCGGCCGCCGCAGCUUCCACCUCCAGAAGAGCACCUGCUCCUCGUGCGGUUACCCGGCCGCCCGCAUCCGCAAGUGUAAGCUCCCCUUCCUCCGUCCUAGAUCUCUAGGUCUGCUGCUGUCAUGCGCCAUGUUCUUGAUGUUGCGCGACCUCAUGUGGAUGCCACGAACGGCGCUGCUCCUGCGUGCAGAUUUGAUUCGCUGCAUUAUUAUGCGGUUGUUGUCUCGCCGUGGUUGUUCAAACUGAGAUGUACCCAGUUGAUUCAUCAUCUCGGGUCAUAAAUUUUUCUGCAUUCCCUGUUGCUGUAGCUUGUUGGAUGCAUAGUUUGAUCUCCCAAUGGGAAUUAUUAGUGAAUGGUGAUGUCUGGUCACGAGAAUGGUGAUGUAGUAGCUGGUAUGCUUGAUGCGUGUAUGUCCAUCUCUUUACUGUUUUGCUAGAACCAUAAAUCCUGAUGCGCAUGAUGAUCAUGGUCUGGUUUGUUAGACCUAUUCUGCUGGUGCUUAAAAUUUGACAUGCCUGGAUUCUAAAACUUGUUCUUACAGUUUUCAUUUCUAUGAUCAAUUUAGAGAGUUGGACAUGUCAAUAUAU